rnacentral:tRNA from 1 species
CCUGAUGGCUCAGAUGGUAAAGUGUCUGCCUGCAAUGCAGGAGACCCAAGUUCCAUCCCUGGGUCAGGA